GGUGCAGCAAAGCCCUCAGACAGAGGCUAUUCUGUAGUACUCAGAACCAGUACAAAAUGUCCCUGAUGCUUUGCCUUUUGUUGUGUUGGCCCUAAGUACUUUUUUUUUUCCCCUCCUUUCCGAAAGGCCUCACCUUCUGGCUGCACCAUUACAACAUUUCUGUGUGUUUUAAUAGUGGUUCAUAUCCACUGCAGCACAGCUAUAGUUUUGGUAUUAUUGCUUCUGAGGACUCACAGAGUUGCUCAGGAAGCUUGUGGAAUGUUUUUGCAGGAUGCCGCCUUUGCAGCAUGCAGCCAAACCUGUUGGUUUGUUCCAAGCUCAGUGGCAGUUUCCAGCAUAGCCAUGAACAGACACCACAAAUCACCUUAUUUCCUGACUGUAAAGCAAGAGGGUGGGCUCUCCCCUACUCCCCUUUGCCGUGCUUUUAAACCAUUUGUAAGCAGGGAUUUGUUUUUCUUCCUGUGUGAAGUAAACUAAGGUUGAACUCUGGUGUGGUGUACAAACUCAGAUUUGAACAGGCCCCCUAAGUUUCACUGAUAUGGUAAUUUUUAAAUCCAGGUCACAAGCACAGACGUCCAUGAAGAACUCUGGGAAAGUUCUGUGUGCCAGCUGGGCACGUGCUUUUCUCUGAGCGAGUGUUUAUGCUCCCUAGGUCCUGACCCUGCGGUCCAGGAGAAGGUCCACAAACCCACACCAAGACCCCUUGGCUUUGCUGGAAUUUUCAUCCCAGACGACUAUUGAGGUAUAUUUGCAGGAUUACAGUGAGCAGCAGCGUGAGCUCUGGCUUCAAAUUCUUAACUGGCCAGAAGCUUGAGUCUGUCUGUCCUGAUACUACACCACUCAAAGUGACCCCUCUGCCUCAUCUCUGGAAGAAAAGUGAGGUCUGUUGUGACAGAUUCAUGCAUAUGCUCGCCCUUGCUUCAGGGUAAAGACCCGCAGUGACGCUGACUUGCAAAAUACAAUGAAGACACAGGUUAGCAGGAAACUGUGACAUGUCACGCUGACACCAUGCAGUCCAGGCCUUGCCCUCAACAAUGUUUAAGGAAGACAGGAGGCAGUGCUGUUUUUCCUUGUUACCCAAGCUUGAGACAAUGACAGGUAAGAGGACAGACAUCAGUGUAGUUCUGCAUGCUGAAGCAAGAGCCAAGAAUUUCAUUAAAGCUUGCAUCCCUUUUGAAAGGCACAUCAGACACUCAACUGCACUGAUGCAAAAAAUUUUCUAGGAGCUGAUGAUCUUGUACAUUCAAAUUGGGACUAUCGGCAAUCUCCUCCUAUUUACCCCAAUCUUGCCUUGCACUUCCUCCAAUUAUUUUCAAAUGUCCAUCAGCAAGGAAAAAGACAGAUAUUAGAAAAAUAUUCCAGUCACCAAGAAAUUGGUGACAAUUUUUUAAUUUAUGUGGUGGCCUUUUACAAAGGAUUUGUGUCAUGUAACUAUGUCUUUUCCCUGGAAGGGAACUGCACAAAACCCAAUACAAAUGAGUCUUUUUCAUAACAUACAGCAAGUUUCCUACAUAUUUGGAUUCAUAUGCUUGUUUCUUAUAAAAUAUCAGAAAGGCUGAUAUUUUUACUGCUAUGCUUCAAGUGUUCCAUUUCAGAGAAACAGUUUUGACUACUGGGAUCUGGGAAGUAUUUGAAGAGUUUGGUGUGCUCCGAGUAUGAACAAUCUUAAGACUGCUGCUGUGCAUCAACUUGCCCAGCUGAACUUUCCUUCACCAGAUUUUAAACCACUUUUAACCUCAAUCCAGCCUCAUGUGACUUGAGAUUUGUGCAUCUCCAAACCUCAGGCACAAAAAUGGGGCAAAGGUCUGAUCUACAUGCAGAACUGCCAUGACUAGAGAGCAAGGGUACAGGGUGCUGAGUGCACUGUUUCCAUUCCAGAUCUUUAAUUUCCGCUGUACCCUCAGCUGGUGAAAAUGGCAAGGUGAAAAUUUCAUAGAUGAAGGAUCUACUGAAGAUGGGUCUCCUAGAAUCACUCAACUGAGGUCUGACACAAAAAUUUUAGAAAUAUGCUGAAGUGCUAAGAUAUAUUCUGUUCAGUGCAGAUUAGUUUAAGACAUCCUUUUUGGAAAAAGGAGAAAUCUGCAGAGAACAAGUGUUUGGCCUUCUGCUCAGAUGAAGGAGAAACAAGGCAUGCUGGGGUAGGUAGCCUCAGCUCUUUAUUUAAGAGGGGGUUGCAGAAUGUGGAAUACAGAUGAGUCCCUUAUUUAUGGGAUAAUAUUCAUACUGAAAAGAAUAUGUGGCAAUAAUCAGUUUUUCCAUCAAGUGGAGCUGAUGCAGUGAAUAACUGUACAAGUGAUUUAUUGUGAACAUAUUCCAAGGCUACAAGUAUAAUUCCUACUUAGUGUGGAUGACAAGACAAUAGAAUAUUGUACAAACCACAACACCAAUAACAAAAAAGUAAUAUUUUUCUUGCCUCGGCAGACUUGCAAAGUUCUGUGCUGCUGCCUUCUCAGACUUUCCUUUGGCGUCACUUUGGGGAUAGAGAUUAGUUGAGUUACUGUUCAAGGGUGGGUUUAAAAAAUAACUAUGAACUGCUGGCCUGUAUGGAGAUGGAGGGGUUGUGAUUAGACACAGGUUGUGUCUAGAGGCGUAAGGUGCUUUUUAUGUGCUCUACUUUGACUUCUGGCCUCUAAGUCAUAAUGAAAACUUUGACAGAAUAGGUACUGGCACUCUGCUUCCUCUUGCAAGUAUGGUGUACAGAAAGCAGGGAGUAUAACAUUAGAUCAACUUAAAUAUCCUGAAAACAGGAGACUGUCAAUGAUGAUGCAUCAAUUAAGGGUUUUAGAAGCCAGUAACCAUAUAUCAAAUAUGGAGACUAUUAUAUAACUAUAAAGGUUUGGGGGUUUUUUCCAGUGAACCUCUCUAAUCAAUUCUAGUUUUAAUUUUUCCUCUAAGCUUGAGGAAAGUAAGUGUUGUCCAUUUAGAAUAUGCUGUAUGUUAUCUCUGAAGCAGAAAAAGUUAUUUUAGUUAAUAAACUCAUGCUGUAUUCUACAAUUCCUGUUAGCUCUCCCCAUACUACACAAUGGUACAAGAAAAGUUACUUAUUUUACCUUCUCUGCCCUCCUUAUACCCCAAAAACUCAAACCAGUGAACCAGUUUUAUGAUUCCACAUUCACAUAUUCAAAAAGGAACAAAAAAAAUAAAAUUAUUCUAGACAUUAUCACAAUAGUAGCAAAAUGUGAGUGGAAGAGCACUGUAUGUUAUCCUUUUUAAUUUUUACCAAAAGAAGCAUAAGCUUUACAAAAACCCCCUCUAUGUAUUAUAUCUGAGUGUGGUUCUGUGCUUGGGUGAUUUGUAACAAUUCUGUAUUUGAAAAACUUCCAAAAUCUGAUCAGUUAUGGCUGAAGUAAAGUCCUUAUGUAUUAUGUAAAAAAAGGAUAACAUAAAUGAAAACACAUUUGUUCAUAGUAAAAUCCAACUGGUAUAUUUUAGAUCUAAUUUGAUCUAAUUUUAAUGAAAGGCCACAGAAAGAACAAUUGAACUUUAAGACUACUUUUACACCUGUACUGAUUUGUGCAUGUUAUGCAUAACUACCCUAAUCUCCCCUGAUAAGAAGCAGCUGUAAGGAGCCUUCAGAAAGCAAGCCUGCCCUCAGUUCUCCCUGGAGACAACUGUACAGGGAUAAGGCCAAAUGGCAUGCAGUCAUGACCAGCUUCAAAAGGAUGCAGAAACGUGGUCACUUCCUGAGAUCAUCCAAUUUAUUUUCUGACAUGAGCCUGUGAUAACGAAGAAACUUGAAAGCAAGCAGGCCUCACUGGCAAAUCCCGUUCUAUGCCUAGGAUGGCUAAAGCAUAUUGAUUUGGAUGAUAGCUUCCAGCCUUUUCAGCAACACAAGCUCUACCUUUACCAGUUUUACUUCAGAGAUCUCAAAGUACAAAACAACUCUUCUCCCUGAGAUGGUUUAGUCUUAUUCUGUAAGUUAUUCAAUAUUUAAAGCAAAUGAUGAAGACAGUUUCUAGCACCAGCAAAGCCACACAGACUCCCACACAUCGAGUUCCAUAAUUAAGUAGUAGGUGCUGUGUUUAAAUGCAAGAGCCAGCACAGACUUGGCUGUCAGGAAAGACAACCUCAUUACAGCUACCAUCUUUGAAAAUCUUAGACCCCCACCUCCAGGAGAUGAGUCCUGUUACCCAUUAGGACAAGCCAACCAGAGGUAUCAAGUUUCCUUUUUCUAUUAAGUGCACGUACUGUAACAGCUUUUCCCCACCCAUGACUACUGGAAUGCUGCAGGAAGGAAAACAGGUGAAUGUACACUUCUGCCUAUGGUUAUUCUUUUUCGAAUUUAUCAUGAAGUUUUCCAUAAAUUCUUACUUUGAU